UACGGAGGGUGCGAGCGUUAAUCGGAAUUACUGGGCGUAAAGCGCGCGUAGGCGGUUCGAUUAGUCGGAUGUGGAAGCCCCGGGCUUAACCUGGGAACUGCAUUCGAAACUGUCGAGCUAGAGUAUGGUAGAGGGUAGUGGAAUUCCCGGUGUAGCGGUGAAAUGCGUAGAUAUCGGGAGGAACAUCAGUGGCGAAGGCGGCCCCCUGGAUCGAUACUGACGCUGAGGUGCGAAAGCGUGGGGAGCAAACAGG
rnacentral:rRNA from 1 species